CACUAAUACAGUGGUAUUUUAACCCACAAAUUUGAUAUCAAAUUUCGACAUCAACAUAUAUGGUUAACACAGUUCAAAUAUGCGAAUAUAAGAAUGUGUCAGUGUUACAACUGAUUAAUCGUCCACAUAAAUAAAUGCAAAAGAUUGAUAUACCUCGACGGUCAUCAUUCAAUGAGCCUUCCAAUCGACAAUUCCUCCAAACUUAGAAACUGCGUGCUUAACAGAUUCAAAUGGAGGUGCUGUAUCAAUUAUGCCUCUUUUUUCAGCAAUUUGCUUUGCAUCUGUAGGUGAAUCAACACCUCCUACAGCAACAUCAACAAUCUUUGUUUAAGGCAGAUUCACAUUCAGUUCUUUCUGAUCAUUCUCCAACUCUUUCUGAUUGUUCAUUAUAUCUUCUAAGGAUCCUUGUUCAGAAUCUGCAACCACAGGUUCUUGGUCACUUUGCUCCAUUACAUGAUCUUCAUCAACAUUUGUUGGUGAAACUAAAUUUUCGUGGAGGAAAUCAAUAACUUGUGUUGUAGGUGAAUCUGUUAUUAGUUCUUUAGGUUCAAUCUGCAACUCUUUUGUUUCAGAAGAUGAAGCUGAGAGUUCCAUAAGACUUAGACACCACCACAUCUCAACCCAAAACCUUAAGGCAUUAGGUUUAUGGGUCAUUCUCCUUAUAUAUCCAAUAUAGCCUCCAUUCCUAGUCAAUGUGGGACUAACCACUCAUAAUUGAGUUCCAACAUUAGACACUGGAAAAUUAGUGUCAUUUUCCACUCUAUUGGUAUCACAAAGUGAGUUGAUGGAAGCUUCAAUUGUUGGAGUUAGGACAUCAGUAUUUUCUUGAGUGUUUUCUGCCAUUAGAUUUUGUUCAGCAUUUAUUGUGGAGGAUUCUGAGGCUGAAUUGUCUUCAACUUCCUCCUUUGGAGAUCACCCUUACUUUGGACAUAUGACGUUUCUAAUCUAGUUGCACAUCUGGAAAAGUUUUCAGAAGAAUAAAUUGAACAUCUCGUUUAAUUCUAGGGGUAGUAGUGGUCAGCCUUAGGAAAUUUAUUUAUGUUAACUCUAGUCUAUGCCAAUUAUCAUUUUGGUACUACAUUUUUGAACCUUAUAAUUUCAGUAUUAAGUAUCUGAUUGAGAUACUGAUGGAUUUUAAAUUUACAAUGGAUUAUUUGUUUGUUUGUUUGAAAUUACAUGGGAAAUUAUAUAUUUUGAUUGCACGGAAAAAAAGGAUGUUACAAGGGAAGGGAUGCCACACAAGGAUAUACCCGAAUUACGUUCAGUCAUCACAACAAUCAAGACACCUAUCAACUUUGAUAGGAUUUCUUACGAUCUACCCAAACUAUACUAAACUCUUAUAGUUUGAGUUUUAUAAAACUAUGAGAUUGUUUUGUUAGAAUUUGAGAAGACUCAACACUUGUUUGAAUUUUGAUUCUUUGACAGAGAAACACACGAGAAUGAUUCUAAGAAUCAAAUGGGAAAAAUCAGAAUUGAUUCAAAGUAUGUGAAUGGGAGAAAUUCAAGUAUGAUUGAAAUGAGUAAUAAAUUGCUUAAUACUUGAAGAUCUGAUUUUUUCUUGAGCAUUGACCUUCCUUUUAUAGGCUUUUAGGAUAUUUAAUAAUGGUCAAAAUAGCUGUUAGUAGUGCUCUGUCAGAUUUGACCAAAACUAAUAUAUUUGAAUAAAAAUAUUUCAGCUUUGAACACUUUGUGAAAUCUGUUUGAUUAGGCGUUUUUCUCCGUUAUUGAUGAAUUUUCUUUUGUGUUUAGUGAUCCUUUGUACCUCAUAUAUAUUUGUUGAUGAUAUUGCUUCGAUCUGGAGAUUUGUUUUUGCCAAAAUAGCUUGGAGAAUGAUGACGAACUUCUGCAUAAAUAUGGAGAUUGAUAUUGAACUUCUGCAGAAACGGAGAUUGAUAAUCAAUCUGGAGACUGGUCUGAUCAUUUUGGAGAAAAAUGUUUGUUGCUGAAGAUCAAGUGUAACAAGUUGGGGAAUAUUUAUCAAUCUGGAGACUGAUAUUACACAGUUGUCCAUAUUGAUCAGAAUGCUAUCAAGAAUGUUCAGAUCUGUCUCGUCUUGUUAAUUCGUGAUCUUCUAUCUUUGUGAUUCAAAUGCCUUCUUUGACUAGAAUGGUUCCUACUUGUUCUUUGCCAAGUACUCAUAACUUUAGCAUGAAAUUCAGAGGCAUAAAUUUUUUUGAACUAAUAGAGAUGGAUUGAUUUUGGAGCUACCAUUCUUGAAACUGGAUAAAUUUAUUAAUAUUAAUUUAUUAAUAUAAAUUUAUUAUUAUUAAUUUAUUACUAUGAAUUUAUUACUAUUAAUUUAUUACUAUAAAUUUAUAAAUAAAUUUAUAAUUCAAACAUUUGAAAUUUAUUGCGAGAUACAAACUUCCAAAACAAUUUUGUAACUUUCCAUAAAUUUCAAAGUUUCUAAAUUGAAAAAUUUAUGUUUCUGAAAUUUACAUUUUGAAACUUUCAGGAUAUGUCAUACAUUUAAUGAUGAUUAACAAUACACUUUAGAAAUAAUAGUUCAUGACACAUUUUAUAUUUAUUGAUAACUAAUGAUAUAAUUGAUGUCGAAUCAAUACAAAAUAUAUAUUUAUUUUUUAUUUUUAUCGAAUUAAUAUUAUUUUAAAUCACUAUUUUAAUCAUUAAAAAAUAAAGAUAACCCUUAACACUUAUUUCAAAUAAAAAAUAUUUAUGAUCGUUAAAAUUUUAAAUAUUAUGCCUCUAAUGUUUAUUUAAAAUGUAUAAAAAAUUCCAUUAUUUUUUCCAUAAAGACUUGGACCAUUGCAUAGUUGAACCUACCAUUGAAGUCUAUACUUGUGAAUGAUGGCAAUAGUGAAUGUCCCUCUCACUCACUAUCUUUGCCAGAGUAACGUUUCUUACCCAACUACUAACGACAACUGCAUAAGUUUCCCAAUAGCUGAGUGCAAUAAUUCUAGUUAAAUUUGACUAAAGACGAAAAAUAUUGUCAAUAGCUAUGCAGUUGUAAUCUGUUGGACUUGAUAAAUAUGUUUGAUGAGUUUCUUUUCACAAUUUCUACAUAAAAUGAAAAAAAAAAAAGUGUAGCACUAGAUGGUAAAAAGCAAAAUGUGUUAAGUGAAUAUUUUUUUAUAUUCCAGAUUAGUGUAUCAGUAAAUCUUAUUUACUUUCACGGUAAAAUUAACAAAAUUAAGGUGAGUAAUUGUGAUUUUACAAAACCUAUUAAGUAAAAUUUCUACAAAAUCAUUGUUUAUGUUUGAUUUCACGGUGGAAGUAGUAAAAUCACAUUGACUCAUUGUGAUUUUGUAAAUCCUACUACAAAAUCAAACAUGCAUUAAGUGAAUCUCGUACAUUAUGAACUAAAUGUCAUUAUCACUCUAUAAAUACAAACAGAAAGACAACCUUGAGAUUUUAUAAUUUUAGACAUCACCUUAAAAUAUUGACAAUGAAAUUAUUUUAUAAAUUGAUCGUAACAUUUUACUAAUUAUUAAAUUAUUCUAUAAAUUUCUACUUUGUUUUCAAAUAAAUCUAUAAGAUUAUAGAUAUUUUAAAAAGUCUAUGGAAUUAGUAAUAUUUUAAAAAAGUCCUCACUCUAUUAAAUUGUUAAAUUGGUUCUUAUAUUUAACUAUUUAUUAUUAAUUAUGUUUUUUUUUAAUCCUACUACAAAAUCAAACAUGCAUUGAGUCAAACAUACAUUAAGUCAAACGUGCAUUAAAAAGUGAAUCUAUAUAAAUGUGAUUAUUACUAUAAAAUACAUAUACAUACUAUUCAUUCACAUUAUAAAAUACAUUAUCUUCCUCUAUAUAAGUCACAAAGCAGCACACAAAUUUAACUCCAAACACAUCCGAAGCAAUGGAUUCUCUUGCUUGGCUCAGUCUUUUUUGCCUUUCAAUUUUUCCUCUUUUAGCUUCCUCCACUUUGCUCUUUCAGGUAUUUUUACCAUCACAAAUACAUUUUAUAAACAACCUUAAUUAAAUGUGCAUGUAUAUAUAAUAAAUGUUGUCAAAUCACAGGGAUUCAAUUGGGAAUCAAGUAGCAAAGGAGGAUGGUACAACUUGUUGAAGAACUCCAUUCCUGACUUAGCAAAUGCAGGAAUUACUCAUGUUUGGCUCCCUCCUCCAUCUCAAAGUGUUGGUUCUCAAGGUAGUACAUUUUUGUUUGUAACUGCUUCACUCAUAAUUAAAUAUCAAUGGAUAUAUCAUGAUCAUCAUUUGUCAUUAAAUUCUUAAUUAUUUGAUUCCAGGGUAUCUUCCAGGAAGACUAUAUGAUCUUGAUGCAUCAAAAUAUGGUUCCAAGGAUGAACUAAAGUCCCUUAUAAAGGAAUUUAAUGAUAAAGGAAUAAAGAGCCUAGCUGACAUAGUAAUCAACCAUAGAACUGCAGAGAGAAAAGAUGAAAGAGGUAUUUACUGUCUCUUUGAAGGUGGGACCCCAGAUGGAAAACUUGAUUGGGGUCCAUCUUUCAUUUGCAAAGAUGACACAACUUAUUCAGAUGGCACUGGAAAUCUUGAUACUGGAGAAGGUUACAAUGCUGCACCUGACAUUGAUCAUUUAAAUCCUCAAGUACAAAGAGAGUUAUCUGAAUGGAUGAAUUGGUUAAAAACUGAAAUUGGUUUUUCUGGAUGGAGAUUUGAUUUUGUGAAAGGUUAUGCUCCUAGUAUAACAAAGAUUUAUGUGGAAAAUACUUCACCAGAUUUUGCUGUUGGAGAGUAUUGGAAUUCACUUUCUUAUGGACAAGAUGGAAAGUGUGAUUAUAAUCAAGAUAAAGCUAGAGGUGAACUUGUGAAUUGGGUUGAAUCUAGUGGUGCUGGUGUUGUUAAUGCAUUUGAUUUUACUACUAAAGGGAUUCUUCAAGUUGCUGUUGAAGGAGAACUUUGGAGGUUGAAAGAUUCGAAUGGAAAACCACCUGGUUUGAUUGGUUUGAAACCUGAAAAUGCUGUUACAUUUAUUGAUAACCAUGAUACAGGUUCUACUCAGAAACUUUGGCCAUUUCCUUCUGAUAAAGUUAUGCAGGGUUAUGGUUAUAUAUUAACACAUCCUGGGACACCAUCAAUAGUAAUUUCUCUAACCUUUUUUUCUUUUAAUAGUAAUUUCUUCUGUUGAAUCUUUAUAUUAUGGGGUAUUCUGUCUUACAUAACAUGACACGUAUAGUUAUAUUUAAUUACGUUAAAUAAAUCAUUCAAAGAAUCUAUAAUUAUUCUAUCAAAAUCAUUUAAAAUCAAAAGAUAGUUGUCCGAAAUGAAAUUUUUAAAAUUUGUAUUGAAUUUAAAUUUUGAAAAGUUGAGGAACCAAUUUACGAAUUUUGAAAAAUUAUAGGAACUAAUUUGAUAAAAUUAUAAGAACCUAUUUUCAAACUUAUUACUUUUAUUAAUAUGAUAAAUUAUUGAUGAAUGUAUUGUUGGUGCAUGCAGUUCUAUGAUCACUACAUAGAAUGGGGGCUAAUGGAGCCAAUAAAGAAAUUGACAGCUAUAAGGAAAAGGAAUGGAAUUACAGCCACAAGCAGUGUAAAUAUUUUGGCUGCUGAGUCUGAUCUUUACAUGGCUGAGAUUGAUAACAAAAUUAUUGUAAAGAUUGGACCCAAGUUGGAUCUUGGAAACCUUCUUCCAUCCAACGCACAGGUCGCUACCAAUGGACAAGACUAUGCUGUAUGGGAACUUAAGUGAAGCAUCUCACUAUUUACUAAUAUGAAAUCAAAAUAAACAAUAAAUAAUUUUGCAUUGUCAUGCUCCAUUGUAUAAGAUCUCAAACUCAAAAACAUACCUUUGAUUUGGUAAUAUCUUACACAUAUCUUUUUUUCAAUAUAUCAAAAGGCUAUACACAAUACAAAAACAUCUUUUUUUCUUUCUUCUUUUCUCACCAAGAGUGAUGAACUUAAUUUUCAUGUCAUCAAAAAGCACAUAGUCAAAACCAUACAUACUGCAAUCACUAACAUGUACAAGUAUGGUGUACUCUUUGAUUAAUCACCAAAGGUAUAUAUAUAACAAUGCGUUGUAAGUUUCUCAAAAAAAGUGAUUACCCUGAAUGAUUUUGUUGUGCUUUUCUUCUUCCAAAGAACAUAAGAAUCCGUGGAAAAAACGAUUUUUUCUUCUUUUUUCCACUUUCAUUGUUUCCAUGAGCAUUAGACUUUGGACUUGAAAGAUAAUGUACAGGAAUAUUUCCACUAUGAUCUUUGUCUUGUUUACCACUAUGACUUGUGUUCUGGUUUACCAUUUUUUGGGCUAUUUCGCCGGCUUUUCUGCGUUGUUGUCCGUGUUCGGCUCUCCAUUUUCUUAAUUCUUGUUCUACACCUAAUUUUCCUUCCCUUGCCUUCUCAGCUUUAUCCAUUGCAAUCUUCAAAGAUUCCCUUCUAUCAGCCAUUUCUUUGUUCACUUCAUUAAACUUCUCUAAUGUUUUCAUUUCGGACUCUUUAGCUAUAUUGAUCUCGGAAUUCGCAGUUGCAACUCUCGCAUUGGCUUCCUCUUCUGCAACAUGAGCUUGUUUUGUAAGAUGAUAGUACUCCUCAACCGAAAGUGUCACCCCCUUCGAUGAAUCAACUUCAUUGUUGUUGUUGCUUCGAGACGAUUCACUCUCUUGCAAUACUUUAAUUGCUUGUAUUGCCAACCUCUCAGAAGCUCUUGCAGCCUCUAUCUCCUUUUGAGCUGCAAGUAGUCUACUAUACAUUGUACUCGCGCCGGCCUUGGCUUGUUCUGCCUCCUCCUUUACUCUUCGAAGCACUUCGCGAGCUUCUUGAGCAAGCAAGUUGGCUUGAUUAGCCUCUUCGGCAGCUUCUCGUAGUUUUUUCGGCAUCUCAAGGAUUGUCUGUCUGCCUUCUUUUUCCUUCAUUUGAACCGAAAAUAAUUCUGAUUUAGUUUUGUUCAGUUCGGCUUCGAUAGAUGCAACUGUUAUGGAGGCCAUUCCUUCUCUUUGCCUAAUCGAGGCGAGCGAUGAUUUCUCUUGUUCGAGUUCCGAUCUUAAUGAUGUUGCAGCCACCUUUAAAUAACUUACCUCAGAAGUAACUUUCUCAAUGUUAAGUUUCACUUCUUCAAGUUCCUUUUUGGCUGAUGCAACUGCUUCUUGUAUUUCAUUGUGUGUCUUUUUCUCUGGUUUCUCUUUCGAUUCUCCUUCUUCAUCGCCUUCUUGGUUGGACUUUGAUUCCAUAUAGGCAUUUAAUUCAGCUUUCAAAUCAAUCAACAAUAUAGAGGCUUUACUUAGUUUAGUUUUAAGAUCCUUAGCAGACAAAAUUUUCUGGUUGAGUCUUUCUAGUUCCUCUUCUUCCUGCUUAAGUUCCUUCUCCCAAUUGAGAAAAUCUUGAUCUCUUGCCAUGACAGUUCCUAUUCUGUGUUCUUCUGCUUCCAUAUGUGCAGCAUGUGCUGUUUCCAAAGACUCCUUGAUCGCAAUCAACUCUAUAGUCAAAUCUUCAACCGUCUUUUCUACUUGUUUUGAUGCAGCAACAGCUUCUUCAGCUUUGUCCAUUGCUUCACCUUUUUCCACAACUAAGGAGGCGUACUCCGUACGCAACGCAUCGAGCUCCUCUUUCACGAAUGUUAACUCUGUGAUUGCAUCUGUAUACCUGGCUUUAGCGACCUCGAGUUGCGCCUUGGCUGCCACGCUAGAAUCUUCUGCUAUACCUUGUUCCAUCUCUUCCACUCUGAGCUUUGCAAGUUCUGAGUCUUGUCUUGCUUGACGCUCUUCGGUUUGUUCCCCCUCCNNNNNNNNNNNCGGUUUGUGCCCUCUCAAGGUUCAGUUUUAAUUCUUAUAUUAAUCUUUUAGUGCUGUCAAGCUCCUGAAGUACUUGUACUUUCACUUUUUCGGCCGCCUCUGAUCUUUUCCUAUACUCCGGAAUCUCCUCGUGCGCUUUUUCAAGCUCUUGUUCGACUUGCUUUCGCCGCUGUACAUCCAAUGCAAACACUAAAGUUAAUUGUAAUUUCAUCAGAUAAAAGCUACCAAGUCAUCAAUACAAUAGCAUCAUAUAGUAUCAAAAGGACAAGUUUAGCACAAGAUGCAACAAUAAAAUGCAGUGAUAGUAGUUUCACUAAUACAACUAUAUUUAACAGAAAUGGUAUUUUAACCCACAAAUUUGAUAUCAAAUUUCGACAUCAACAUGUAUGGUUAACACAGUUCAAAUAUGCGAAUAUAAGAAUGUGUCAGUGUCACAACUGAUUAAUCGUCCACAUAAAUAAAUGCAAAAGAUUGAUAUACCUCGACAGUCAUCAUUCGAUGAGCCUUCCAAUCGACAAUUCCUCCAAACUUAGAAACGGCCUGCUUAACAGAUUCAAAUGGAGAUGCUGUAUCAAUUAUGCCUCUUUUUUCAGCAAUUUGCUUUGCAUCUGUAGGUGAAUCAACACCUCCUACAGCAACAUCAACAAUCUUUGUUUGAGGCAGAUUCACAUUCAGUUCUUUCUGAUCAUUCUCCAACUCUUUUAUCUGAUUAUCAACAACACUGACAGUAGAAUCACUACCCUUCUGAUUGUUCAUUAUAUCUUCUAAGGAUCCUUGUUCAGAAUCUGCAACCACAGGUUCUUCGUCACUUUGCUCUAUUACAUGAUCUUCAUCAACGUUUGU
rnacentral:lncRNA from 1 species